CGGAGCGACCGCGUUUGUGAGACUUGUCCGAUCGUAGCCUCGAACUUGAUGCUUUCGUUUUUUCCAAGUUCUCUCGCGUGGUUUCAUUUCAAAAAAACCCUAACUCAAAGCUCGAGGAACGAAAGUUCAUACCUUUUGAUCCUCGCGUUGAAUUGUGAUCGAAUUGUGAUCCAAAAAACACGCCGUGUGUCGCAUUACACGUUACACGUGGAGCUUUAACUUUCAAUCGCGUUGGAGAACAAUCGACUUUUAUCAGUGUAAAACGUUGUGUUUUGGAUGAACUUUUACUUGGUUCUCAUUGAGGACGGUAUCCACGAUGAACGUUAAUAUUUUUAGGUAGUGUUCGGUGUUUCCCCGUAGUGUUGUCUAUCGCCAGCAACAUAUUCAACGUCAAAGAAUAAUAGUUUCGUGUACUAUGCCGAUAUCCAAUUUUUUUGGUCGCUAAGUGGUGUCUUAUGAGAAGGUUGUGCUCGCUGACUCAUCAGACAAAAUACAUUUCAAGUAGUUUCUUAUGUCAUUAUCGGGAGUGCACUUAUGUUAAUUUGUAGCCAUCGAAGAGAAGCUUUUUCAAAAAAAUAAUAUUCGUAUUCUUGUAAAAGUACCCGGGUCAUUUCACGUAGUAAUAGUGAUUUUUUGCAUUUUUGUGUGUGUGUUAAGUCUGCGACGGAUAUCAGUGUUGGCUUUCUGUGGUGGUUUCGUGUCACCCCGUCUCCCUUUCAUUUUUUUAUCGAAAGGAUCGAGCACAGGUCGUGAAAGAUCUGGAGCAAUCGCGGAAUCAACUAGCUGGAUUCUGUCUCCAGUGUCAUAAACGCCAUUCAUGACGUCGAACAUGGGCAAACGCAUUCACAUGCAAGAUACAUUCUAGGAUGGUGUACCCGCACUACGAUGUCUCAUCGGCGGCGACGUGGGGGACAUGCGGCGGGGCGUCGAGCAGCACCUCGGACUCGGGGGGUGGCGACAUGAAGGGGUGCGGGGGCGGCGGUGGCGGUGGC